GCCAUGUUCAGGCAAAAAAACUAACUUAAAAUCUGUCGGAGGGCAACCUCCGUGCCGGUUCAAGUCCGGCAGCGGGCACCA
rnacentral:tRNA from 1 species